AGCGAACGCUGGCGGCAGGCCUAACACAUGCAAGUCGACCGAUCCUUCGGGAUAGUGGCGGACGGGUGAGUAACCCGUGGGAACGUGCCCUUUGGUUCGGAACAACUCAGGGAAACUUGAGCUAAUACCGCAUGUGCCCCCCGGGGGAAAGAUUUAUCGACAUCGGAGCGGCCCGCGUCUGAUUAGCUAGUUGGUGAGGUAAUGGCCCACCAAGACGACGAUCAGUCGCUGGUCUGAGAGGAUGAUCAGCCACACUGGGGCUGAGACACGGCCCAGACUCCUACGGGAGGCAGCAGUGGGGAAGCUUGCGCAAUGGGCGAAAGCCUGACGCAGCCAUGCCGCGUGAAUGAUGAAGGUCUUAGGAUUGUAAAAUUCUUUCACCGGGGACGAUAAUUACGGUACCCGGAGAAGAAGCUCCGGCUAACUUCGUGCCAGCCGCCGCCGUAACAC
rnacentral:rRNA from 1 species